rnacentral:lncRNA from 1 species
UCUUCUUCAGCUUCAGUGUGUACCGGCGCGAUGCUGCCUAUCCUUUGUCGCUAUCGGUCGGAGCUCUCGUUGGCGUUAGAGUUGUGCACACUUGUUGGGGCAUGUUGCCGAAUUGGACUUCCUAUAGAGAGGAAGAAACCAGGCUCAGUCGCUGCCGGACGAAAGGCCGUCGAGAUCCAGUGAGGCCGAUUCCCACCGCAGGGAAGAAAC